UUUUUAAAAUAAUAAAUACUUGUACGGAACUGUUUGUACACAUACAAUAAUAUAGGAGGAGUUAAGGUGCGAAAUAACUUUACUCCACGAGUGCUGUUUUUACACUGGUUUAUUCAUAUUAAUACACGUUAAUACACAAUGUAUAUGAAACGCUUAGUAGACAAAGAACAUAAAAAUAUAUA